GGCUGUGGCUCAGUGGUAGAGCGCUUGCCUAACACAUGUGAGGCACUGGGUUUGAUCCUCAGCACCA
rnacentral:tRNA from 1 species